AGUAGCAGUUACACCGCGUCAAUCAAUCAUAACGGACACACAGAUUUCAAAGGCAGCAGGAUGAAAGAUAUGUGUCUGUGUUCAUCAAGACAUGAAGACUCUGGAGUGGGACAAGAGAAGGAUGAUGGGGUGUAUAUUCCAAUAGACACAUUAAGUCACAUUGUGAUUUCAGUGAAAGCUGAUAAAUACAGAGGGC